rnacentral:rRNA from 1 species
AUUGAACGCUGGCGGCAUGCCUUACACAUGCAAGUCGAACGGUAACAGGUCUUCGGAUGCUGACGAGUGGCGAACGGGUGAGUAAUACAUCGGAACGUGCCUAGUAGUGGGGGAUAACUGCUCGAAAGAGUGGCUAAUACCGCAUGAGAUCUACGGAUGAAAGCAGGGGAUCGCAAGACCUUGUGCUACUAGAGCGGCCGAUGGCAGAUUAGGGAGUUGGUGGGAUAAAAGCUUACCAAGCCGACGAUCUGUAGCUGGUCUGAGAGGACGAUCAGCCACACUGGGACUGAGACACGGCCCAGACUCCUACGGGAGGCAGCAGUGGGGAAUUUUGGACAAUGGGCGAAAGCCUGAUCCAGCAAUGCCGCGUGCAGGAUGAAGGCCUUCGGGUUGUAAACUGCUUUUGUACGGAACGAAAAGCCCUGGGUUAAUACCCUGGGGUCAUGACGGUACCGUAAGAAUAAGCACCGGCUAACUACGUGCCAGCAGCCGCCGCCG